GAUAAGUAAUUAAUAUAAACAACAAUUAAGAAUGAGGAUAAAUAAAAUUCGAAGAUUAUUAAUUAUAAAAAAAUUAAAAUUUACUUAAUUCUUGUAUUGAAUUGAGAAAAUUUGGAUCGAAAGAGUAAUUUUGCAAUUGCUAAUUAAGCAAUUCGAUUAUUUUCUUGGCACUUUUGUAUCCUAUUCCUUAUAGUUAAAUACAAAUAAAUUAAUCUGCAAUGCACAUCAUCGGCAGACAAAACAAACAUUUUGUUUCUUAAGGUAUUUAUAGCAAAGACACUUUGUGUAUAGUGAAAAGCAAAAAUAAUAGGAUUAUCUUGUGUUUAAAUUUAAAAAAAGAAAGGAAUAUAUAUUUCGUAAUACAGAAAGAUUUAUUGCAACUUGUUGUUUUUAUUUUUUUUGGUUGCUGCUUCAGUUUACAUAGAGAGCUUACUCGUUUAACAAUAUAUAAAGGCUGGUGCUAAAUUUAAAGUAGAAGAAAAAGUGUGAGAAUCGGAGCGUCUGGCUUAACUUUUCUUUUUCUACUUUACGGUCUAGGAUUCCUUUACGAAGAUCAAGUCCAUUGACCGUAACUGUGUCCAAUGGUUAUGUUCAUCACGAGAUGUUAUACAAUUGACUCACAUCAAAGUUUCCUCUUUUUUCAGAGAAGCUACCAAAGUUUGUAACACAAUUAUCUUAUGAGAAUCAAGAAUGUAUCAAAUUCAUAAGGAUUUCCCACGAUGAAGAAAUGAAGCAAUUAAAAGAAGUAUCUAAAAAGCUGACAAAUUUUUCAAGUGUAACACUUCAAAUCUCAAAAGUUAUAAAAAGGAUGAAUGUAUAUUUUCUUCUAAAUUACCAUCUUGCAGUUUAAGCUUUGAAGAAAUUGUCAACGGUAUUUUAUUUUGGCCAUGAUUUGGAACAAAUUUCACUAAAAAUAUGUAAGUUUUUAAUUCUAAAUAACAAAAGCGCUACAUAGCGACUAGCGCUAUUAGUAAUCCCACUAUGCUGGAAACAAUUAAAGAUGUAAAUUUCUAAUUCUCUGUUGGUAAAUUUUUACCUGAUUCAGACACUUCUGAAUACUUCAUAUUUACUACAGCGUAAUAUUGGAAAUAUGAAUAAUAAAUAGUUUCUUUUAAUUAUUACUAAUAUGAUCUGGAAUUAUAUUUUAAUUACAGGUAUAUUUUAAAAAAUACAUGUUUUAUGUUUUUUUUUGUAAAUAAAUCAUCAUCGGUAAUUGGUUUCAAAUUAAAUAAAAUCUGCAUACGUCGAGUUAAUGACUCGAGAAUUGCUGCAGUCAAUUUUUAAUUGAUGAACCAUUUCUCGAUGGUUUGGAUAAAAAUAAUGAUCGAAACAUAUAAAUUGAUUAGAUUUAGUGAUUUUAUUAUUAAACACCAAAAAUGUUAUACUGACUUAUAAAAUAAGCAACGUAAAUAAAAAAGUUAUUAAUAUAGUGGAUAAGUUGUAAGAAAAUUAGUUUUAGUAAUAUUUGUAUAUAUAUAUUUUACUGAAUAUAAUGUAUAUAAUAAUCUUGUUAGGAAGUAGUUAAUUGUUAUUUUGUUUUACUCAAGGGAAGGAGUUUUCGUACUUAAGAGACUUGUUUUCUUUAUGAAAUAUAACCGUAGGACAACUUGGAUGACAUUUAAAAGCCCUUAAGGAGCAACAAUGAGUAUAUACAAUUAUUAAAUAGCACGCUUUUUAAUUCAAUGAAUAAUAUUAUUUUCUCUUGUAUAACGUUAACCAUCUUUUCUUACUUUUACUUAUAAACAAAAACCUUAAUUUUGUAAUUAAAUUGUAAAUUUAACUUGAUUAAGAGCAGGAAGUUGUAUUAGAAUUAAGAAGUUACACCACUGUAGAAGGCUAAAAUUUAAUGUUUUUUUUGCUAUUUUUUUCGUCGAAGGAGAAAUAGAAUGAUAAUUAAAUUGAAGGAUAUUGUUAAGCAUAUUUUUAUAUUUGUAAAAAUAUUUUUUUUAUUUAAAAAAGUUACAAAAUAGCGGAUUUACAGCCGUUCUUCAAAAAUGGUUUUUAUUGGAGAAGUUCCACUGCAAGCAGCACACAGGUUGCAAAAGUUAAUCUGGAAUAAAAUAAAAUUUUUUUUUCUUAAUUUACAUUAGAAUAGCUACAGAAAUACGUGGACGAUUUUAAAAAUAUACAUUUUUGUUAAAUUGUCGAACUUUUGAAAUUACAAGUCAAUUUUUCAAACAAAAAAUCGGUACUUUUUCGUUCCUAAAAAAAUAGAAAUUUUAUUAUAUCGAAAAUUGGCCACGUAUUUCUGUGAGGAAUGUUUAAAUUUAUAAAUCAAAUCUGGAGUUGUCAUUUGUGUAUAUAUAUAUAUAUAAAAUUCAUAUGGCACUAAUUCAAUGAGAAAAUUAAAAAAUAAAUCGUCAAAAUCUUUUAAAAACAGUAAUUAAUUAUUAUCCACACGAUUUCAUAAUACAAAAUGAAGAGUUAGAAAAAUCAUAAAUGGUUAGAAGCUGACACAUUUUAAAGUGGUAAAAUCUAAUGAAGCAUAGCAAAAGAGCGCGCGUAAAACUUGGAAGAAAAACGAAAUGGCAAAAUCUAACCGCGAACGAACAAGCUGGUAGUUCAGCAUGAUAACAUAAUAUUUGUUGUGUAAGAAUCCCUGCGUACUCCGCCCAACUGUAUGUAUAUACAGAUAUAUUGAAAUCCCUGUAUGCUCACAUAGAUAUACUCUUAAACGAGAAACUCGCCUGUGAGGAAAAAUAAAAUACCAUGUUUUUCAAUGUGGUAUAUAUAUAUAUAUAUAUGUGUGGUCUCUGUUGUUGUUGGUGUGUGGGGGCUUCGUAACGAAACACUUGCGAUUAUCGUGAUUAUAAUUUGUACUCGGCGUCACAUCAG